UACGGAGGGAGCUAGCGUUGUUCGGAAUUACUGGGCGUAAAGCGCACGUAGGCGGCUGGUCAAGUCAGAGGUGAAAGCCCGAGGCUCAACCCCGGAAUUGCCUUUGAAACUAGAUGGCUUGAAUCUUGGAGAGGUCAGUGGAAUUCCGAGUGUAGAGGUGAAAUUCGUAGAUAUUCGGAAGAACACCAGUGGCGAAGGCGACUGACUGGACAAGUACUGACGCUGAGGUGCGAAAGCGUGGGGAGCAAACAGG
rnacentral:rRNA from 1 species